GGGGCUUCAGUGGGCGGAGCUACAGCUGAUGUAGGGGCUUCAGUGGGCGGAGCUACCGCAGAUGUAGUGGCUUCAGUGGGCGGAGCUACCGCAGCUGAGAUUUAAAGUCCACUGGAGGGUCAUCGUGGUCUGAGUGAUGUCAUCGCCGCUCAACCAAUCAAAGCCUGACGUGUGUUUUAUGCUGCGUAACUCUGUCCGGCAUCAAUAAACUCAAACCCUUUAAACCA